GAUCCGGCGACUUUCGUGAAAGAUUUCGCCCGCUUCUUAGGACUGACUGACCCGUGCUCGACCGCCGUUGGCACGGAACGCUUCUCCACUUCGGUCUUCGAAGGUCUCGUUCGAAUAUUUGCUACUACCACCGAGAUCUGCACCCGCGGUCGGCUUUACCCGGACUCGCGCCCGCGGCUUCCAUGCACGCCGCGGCGCCAUCCUACUCGACCGGGAAUAGGAAAGAGUGUAGAUCCCGG